UACGUAGGGUGCAAGCGUUAAUCGGAAUUACUGGGUGUAAAGCGUGCGCAGGCGGUUUUGUAAGUCUGUCGUGAAAUCCCCGGGCUCAACCUGGGAAUUGCGAUGGAGACUGCAAGGCUAGAAUCUGGCAGAGGGGGGUAGAAUUCCACGUGUAGCAGUGAAAUGCGUAGAGAUGUGGAGGAACACCGAUGGCGAAGGCAGCCCCCUGGGUCAAGAUUGACGCUCAUGCACGAAAGCGUGGGGAGCUAACAGG
rnacentral:rRNA from 1 species